rnacentral:rRNA from 1 species
UACGUAGGGGGCUAGCGUUGCUCGGAAUCACUGGGCGUAAAGGGUGCGUAGGCGGGGCUUUAAGUCAGGGGUGAAAUCCUGGAGCUCAACUCCAGAACUGCCUUUGAUACUGAAGAUCUUGAGUUCGGGAGAGGUGAGUGGAACUGCGAGUGUAGAGGUGAAAUUCGUAGAUAUUCGCAAGAACACCAGUGGCGAAGGCGGCUCACUGGCCCGAUACUGACGCUGAGGCACGAAAGCGUGGGGAGCAAACAGG